rnacentral:tRNA from 2 species
GGGCGGAUGUAGCCAAGUGGAUUAAGGCAGU